GGGCACAUGGCGCAGUUGGUAGCGCGCUUGCUUUGCAUGUAAGAGGUCAUCGGUUCGACUCCGGUUGUGUCCA
rfam:Lachancea fermentati genome assembly, chromosome: E